rnacentral:rRNA from 1 species
UACGAAGGGGGCGAGCGUUGUUCGGAAUUACUGGGCGUAAAGGGCUCGUAGGUGGCCAACUAAGUCAUACGUGAAAUCCCUCGGCUUAACCGGGGAACUGCGUCUGAUACUGGAUGGCUUGAGGUUGGGAGAGGGAUGCGGAAUUCCAGGUGUAGCGGUGAAAUGCGUAGAUAUCUGGAGGAACACCGGUGGCGAAGGCGGCAUCCUGGACCAAUUCUGACACUGAGGAGCGAAAGCCAGGGGAGCAAACGGG